AAUUAAAUUCAAUUUUAUGUGUGUCGGUGCUUCCACCUCUUGAACUUCACCAAGUUCAAUUUUAUAGGUAUUAGCUCCUUCUCCAAGGAACUUCUUUUUCAAAAAGAUUAUCCUGCUGCUGACAAACAUCUUUUGCUCUGCAGUGAGGUAGAAGUAGCACCCUUUAGUUUUUUUUAGAUACCCUACGAACAAGUAUCUAUCAGACUUAGAUUCAAGCUUAUCUGUUUUUAAAUGCUUGAUAUAAGCUAGACACUUCCAGACCCUA
rnacentral:lncRNA from 1 species